GAGUUUGAUCUGGCUCAGAAUGUACGCUGGCGGCACGCCUAACACAUGCAAGUCGAGCGAGGUACUUGUACCUAGCGGCAGACGGGUGCGUAACAUGUGGGAAUCUGCCUUUUGGUUCGGAACAACAUGGGGAAACCUGUGCUAAUACCGGAUAAGUCCUUACGGAGAAAGAUUUAUCGCCGAAAGAUGAGCCCGCACUAGAUUAGCUUGUUGGUAAGGUAAAAGCUUACCAAGGCUACGAUCUAUAGCUGAUUUGAGAGGAUGAUCAGCCACACUGGGACUGAGACACGGCCCAGACUCCUACGGGAGGCAGCAGUGGGGAAUCUUGCACAAUGGAGGAAACUCUGAUGCAGCGAUGCCGCGUGAGUGAAGAAGGCCCUUGGGUUGUAAAGCUCUUUUGUCAGGAAAGAUAAUGACUGUACCUGAAGAAUAAGGUCCGGCUAACUUCGUGCCAGCAGCCGCGGUAAUACGAAGGGACCUAGCGUAAUUCGGAAUUACUGGGCGUAAAGCGCGCGUAGGCGGUUAAGUAAGUUAAUUGUGAAAGCCCGAAGCUCAACUUCGGAAUUGCAAUUAAAACUACUUAGCUAGAGUUUAUCAG
rnacentral:rRNA from 1 species